rnacentral:rRNA from 1 species
GACGAACCGUGCGAACGUUGUUCGGAAUCACUGGGCUUAAAGGGCGCGUAGGCGGGUCACCAAGUCCGGGGUGAAAUCUUUCGGCUCAACCGGAAAAUUGCCUUGGAUACUGGUGGUCUUGAGGGAGGUAGGGGCAUGUGGAACUUCCGGUGGAGCGGUGAAAUGCGUUGAUAUCGGAAGGAACGCCGGUGGCGAAAGCGACGUGCUGGAUCUCUUCUGACGCUGAGGCGCGAAAGCUAGGGGAGCAAACGGG